rnacentral:lncRNA from 1 species
UACGGGAAGUGACGAGAGCCGGGUGGACCCAGGGUGGGGAACUACCUCUUCCUCUCCACGCGGUUGAGAAGACCGGUCGGCCUGGGCAACCUGCGCUGAAGAUGCCGGGAAAACUCCGUAGUGACGCUGGUUUGGAAUCAGACACCGCAAUGAAAAAAGGGGAGACACUGCGAAAGCAAACCGAGGAGAAGAGAAAAAAGAGAAGCCAAAAUCUGAUAAGACUGAAGAGAUAGCAGAAGAGGAAGAAACUGUUUUCCCCAAAGCUAAACAAGUUAAAAAGAAAGCAGAGCCUUCUGAAGUUGACAUGAAUUCUCCUAAAUCCAAAAAGGCAAAAAAGAAAGAGGAGCC